rnacentral:rRNA from 1 species
GCCUUAUGCAUGCAAGUCGAACGAGGUUAGAAUUUCGGUUCGAAGCCUAGUGGCGGACGGGUGAGUAACACGUACGUGACCUGUCCAGAAGUGGGGAAUAACCGGCCGAAAGGUUGGCUAAUACCGCAUGUGGUCACCCCUUGGAAGGGGAUGACGAAAGCCGAAAGGCGCUUCUGGAGGGGCGUGUGGCCGAUUAGCUUGUUGGUGUGGUAACGGCGCACCAAGGCGAUGAUCGGUAGCUGGUCUGAGAGGAUGGUCAGCCACACUGGGACUGAGAUACGGCCCAGACUCCUACGGGAGGCAGCAGUGGGGAAUUUUGGGCAAUGGGCGAAAGCCUGACCCAGCAACGCCGCGUGAAGGAUGAAGUAUUUCGGUAUGUAAACUUCGAAAGAAUAGGAAGAAUUAAUGACGGUACUAUUUAUAAGGUCCGGCUAACUACGUGCCAGCAGCCGCGGUAAUACGUAGGGACCAAGCGUUGUUCGGAUUUACUGGGCGUAAAGGGCGCGUAGGCGGCGUGACAAGUCACUUGUGAAAUCUCUGGGCUUAACCCAGAACGGCCAAGAGAAACUGUUGUGCUAGAGUGCGGAAGGGGCAAUCGGAAUUCUUGGUGUAGCGGUGAAAUGCGUAGAUAUCAAGAGGAACACCUGAGGUGAAGACGGGUUGCUGGGCCGACACUGACGCUGAGUGCGCGAAAGCCAGGG